rnacentral:rRNA from 1 species
GAUGAACGCUGGCGGCGUGCCUAAUACAUGCAAGUCGAGCGAACAGACGAGGAGCUUGCUCCUCUGACGUUAGCGGCGGACGGGUGAGUAACACGUGGAUAACCUACCUAUAAGACUGGGAUAACUUCGGGAAACCGGAGCUAAUACCGGAUAAUAUAUUGAACCGCAUGGUUCAAUAGUGAAAGACGGUUUUGCUGUCACUUAUAGAUGGAUCCGCGCCGCAUUAGCUAGUUGGUAAGGUAACGGCUUACCAAGGCAACGAUGCGUAGCCGACCUGAGAGGGUGAUCGGCCACACUGGAACUGAGACACGGUCCAGACUCCUACGGGAGGCAGCAGUAGGGAAUCUUCCGCAAUGGGCGAAAGCCUGACGGAGCAACGCCGCGUGAGUGAUGAAGGUCUUCGGAUCGUAAAGCUCUGUUAUUAGGGAAGAACAAAUGUGUAAGUAACUAUGCACGUAUUGACGGUACCUAAUCAGAAAGCCGCGGCUAACUACGUG